rnacentral:rRNA from 1 species
CCGUAGUAAUGAAUGAGGCGGCGUGCCUUUACAUGCUCGUCGAGCGAAUGGAUUAAGAGCUUGCUCUUAUGAAGUUAGCGGCGGACGGGUGAGUAACACGUGGGUAACCUGCCCAUAAGACUGGGAUAACUCCGGGAAACCGGGGCUAAUACCGGAUAACAUUUUGAACCGCAUGGUUCGAAAUUGAAAGGCGGCUUCGGCUGUCACUUAUGGAUGGACCCGCGUCGCAUUAGCUAGUUGGUGAGGUAACGGCUCACCAAGGCAACGAUGCGUAGCCGACCUGAGAGGGUGAUCGGCCACACUGGGACUGAGACACGGCCCAGACUCCUACGGGAGGCAGCAGUAGGGAAUCUUCCGCAAUGGACGAAAGUCUGACGGAGCAACGCCGCGUGAGUGAUGAAGGCUUUCGGGUCGUAAAACUCUGUUGUUAGGGAAGAACAAGUGCUAGUUGAAUAAGCUGGCACCUUGACGGUACCUAACCAGAAAGCCACGGCUAACUACGUGCCAGCAGCCGCGGUAAUACGUAGGUGGCAAGCGUUAUCCGGAAUUAUUGGGCGUAAAGCGCGCGCAGGUGGUUUCUUAGUCUGAUGUGAAAGCCCACGGCUCACCGUGGAGGGUCAUUGGAAACUGGGAGACUUGAUGGCAAAAGAAAGUGGAUUCCUGUGUAGCGGGGAAUUGCUAAGAUAUGGAGGAACACCGCGGCGAA